UUAGGGCAGAAAGCUCAGUAACAAGUAGUUAAUAUGCCCUUAAGCCUGGGAUAAUUUCGGGAAACUGAAGCUAAUACCAGAUAGAUAAGAGGUACUGGAAUGUCCUCUUAUCCAAAGAUUUAUCGCUUAAGGAUUGGACUGCUCCGGAUUAGGUUGUUGAUAGGGUAACGUCCUGUCAAGCCGAUAAUCCGUACGAGCCUUGAGAGAGGAAGCUCGGAGAUGGAUUCUGAGACAAGAAUCCAGGCCCCACGGGGCGCAGCAGGCGCGAAAAUUUCCCAAUGCACGAAAGUGUGAGGAAGGGAUUCGGAGUGCUUUCCCUUAUAUAGGGGAAGCUUUUGUGGAGUGUAAACAGCUCCAAGAAUAAGUGGUGGGUAAGACGGGUGCCAGCCGCCGCGGUAAUACCCGCGCCACGAGUGAUGACCACGUUUAUUGGGCUUAAAGCGUUCGUAGCCGGCCCAGUAAGUCUUUAGUGAAAUCCCGCAGCCAACUGUGGGGCUUGCUAGGGAAACUGCUGGACUUGGGACCGGGAGAGGUCUGGGGUAUUCCAGGGGUAAGGGUAAAAUCUUGUAAUCCUUGGGAGACCACCCGUGGCGAAGGCGCCAGACCAGAACGGAUCCGACGGUGAGGGACGAAAGCCAGGGGAGCAAAGGGGAUUAGAUACCCCCGUAGUCCUGGCUGUAAACGAUGCCCACUAGACAUUGGCAGUCCUACGGGGGCU
rnacentral:rRNA from 1 species